UGCGAAGGGGGCUAGCGUUGCUCGGAAUCACUGGGCGUAAAGCGCACGUAGGCGGAUUGUUAAGUCAGGGGUGAAAUCCUGGAGCUCAACUCCAGAACUGCCUUUGAUACUGGCAAUCUCGAGUCCGGGAGAGGUGAGUGGAACUGCGAGUGUAGAGGUGAAAUUCGUAGAUAUUCGCAAGAACACCAGUGGCGAAGGCGGCUCACUGGCCCGGUACUGACGCUGAGGUGCGAAAGCGUGGGGAGCAACAG
rnacentral:rRNA from 1 species